AGAUUAUAUUUUGAACAUGCAACUCGCUCGCCAUUUGGUGGUAGGAGACUAAACGAGGAACCGUUGUUGUUGAGUUGAGGAAGACGAAUGAAACCCCUCUGUUGUGAUUUCAACUACUCAUUCCUAUUCCUAGUAUAUGAGGAAGGCACCAACCAUUACUGCAGAACAUUUACUAUUUUUGUUUUGGUUGGCAUUUGGUUACGCUUUGCCCGGUUAUGAGUGCUUCAAAACUGUGGAGUGGACAACACCAAUCUAGAGAUUCAUCAACUCAUUUUUUGGUGCCAAUAUUGGUUUGUCUUUUUAUUCUUCAUUCAUUCAUGUUUCAUAUUUAAUCAUGUAUUAUUAUUGAUAAUAUUUCUCUUAGAAAUAAUAUAAAACUAUUGAUGACA